GGGGUACCAGUACAGAGUCAAUGUGGAGGCUAUAUAGAGGGAGUACCGGUACAGAGUCAAUGUGGAGGCUAUAUACAGGAGGAACCGGUACAGAGUCAAUGUGGAGGCUAUAUACAGGGGGUACCGGUACAGAGUCAAUGUGGAGGCUAUUUACAGGGGGUACCGGUACAGAGUCAAUGUGGAGGCUAUAUACAUGGGGUACCGGUACAGAGUCAAUGUGGAGGCUAUAUACAGGGGGUACUGGUACAGAGUCAAUGUGGAGGCUAUAUACAGGGGGUACCGGUACAGAGUCAAUGUGGAGGCUAUAUACAGGAGGUACCGGUACAGAGUCAAUGUGGAGGCUAUAUACAGGGGGUACCGGUACAGAGUCAAUGUGGAG
ensembl:lncRNA